rnacentral:lncRNA from 1 species
UACUUGUCAUGGGCCUAGUUUCGUUACACCUGAACUAUGCUAGAACCGUGCGGCCUUAACGCUUUAACACUCUCAUCCCCAUGAGAUAGCAUUAAGUCGGCCUUACCCUCACAAUAAUUUAAUGAAUGAGGCUAAAUUAUAUGAUAACUUUGGUGGAGAAUGUAGAUAGAAAAAUUAUGAGGAAAAGAGCACAAACAUAUAUUUGAAGAAAAUUCUUUGUAUAAAUAUAAGAGAAA